AAUCAACGUGUGGAGAAAAAACUGAAUGAAGUUGAACACCUCCGAAGACUCAACAGUCAUAUUGAUAUGUUAUUGACAAACUCUGUUGAACAAGGACAGAUAUACAGACUGGUUCAUGAACGUACAGACUUUAUUGCUGAACAAGUGAAGAAGAUUGACAGCGGGCGUCGGGAGGAAUUCAGAGAACGUCAACUCAAGCACCAGAGAGACUGAAACCUUCUGAUUCCCUUUUUGGUGGAAGGGCCAAUGCGUACAAGUUGUACCACAAAACUGUUGAUGCCCAUGCUCGACUAGAGUUGUAUGAUCUAAUGGACAAGCUGGGGGAUAGGCUUCUCUAUAGCGAUACUGAUAGUGUCAUCCAUGUGUCUAGAGAAGGAGACUGGGAACCUCCACUAAGUCCAUAUCUAGGUGAACUGACAGAUGAGAUUGG